rnacentral:rRNA from 1 species
GACAGAGGGUGCAAACGUUGUUCGGAAUUACUGGGCGUAAAGCGCGUGUAGGCGGCUAAGUAAGUCGGGCGUGAAAUCCCACGGCUCAACCGUGGAAGUGCACUCGAAACUGCAUAGCUAGAGUCCUGGAGAGGAAGGUGGAAUGCUUGGUGUAGAGGUGAAAUUCGUAGAUAUCAAGCGGAACACCGGUGGCGAAGGCGGCCAACUGGACCAUUACUGACGCUGAGGCGCGAAAGCGUGGGGAGCAAACAGG